AUGCCUCUAAAAAUUCUUCAAAUCAUUUAGGAAUUCCUUCACGAAGUACUUCAAGAACUCCACCAGGAAUUACUUCAGGAAUAUCUUCAGGACUUCCCCCUGAAAUUUCUCCAGGUCUGCUUCCUGAAAUUCCCCCAAGAAUUUCUAAAGGAUUUCUUUUAGAAAUUUCUCCAAAGAAUUCCUCCAGGAAAGCCUUUUGGAAUUCUUCUCGGAAACACUCCAGCAAAUUACUACAAGAAUUAUCCAGAAGCUACUCUAGAAAUAACUCUUCCUCAAGAAAUUCUAUCAAGCAUUCCUUCAGAUAGUACUCCAGCAAUUCCUUUAGAAAUAACUUGAGAAAUUUCUACCGGAAUUAUCUCAGGUACAGGAAUUUCUUAAAGAAUUAGUUCAUGGAUUCCUCUAAGAAGCACUUCAGAAAUUUUUCAAGGAAUAACUCCAGGAAUUCCGUUAGAAUUCACUCCAUGAAUUUCUCUAAGAAUUCCUCCAGGGAUUCCUCCAGAGAUUCCUUCGGGGAUUACUCACUGGAAGAAUCCCUGCAGGGUUUCUUUAAGGAAUCCUUGGAGGAUGUACUUCUGUAUUUCUGAAGAAAUAGCUAGAAGAAGUAUUUCUGGAGGAAAACUUUGAGGAAUACUGUAACAUUUUCUGGUAGAAUUUCUGGAGGAUUUUCUUGGAGAAAUUCCUGGGAAAAUAUUGGAAAAUUUUUAGGAGAAAAUCCUCGAGGAGCUCUUGGUGGAAAUUCUCAAUAAAUUCUUCAAAGAAUUACUGGUGCAAUUCUUGGAGAAAUCUCUUUGAGGAAUUUCUUGAAGAAAUCCUGAAAGAACUCUAGGAGGAAAUCCUGGAAGAGUUUUUGGAUUAUUUUUUACAGGAAUUACUGAAAGAUUUCUUGGUAUAAAGGCUAAAGAAAUUUUCGAGGAUUUAUUGGGAUAUUUUUGGAGAAAUUUAGGAAAAAAAUUCUGGAGAUGUCCCUGAAAUGAUUUCUGGGGGAAUUUCUAGAAGAAUCUUUGAAGAAAUCUCUCGAGUAAAUUUUUAAGAAAUUUCUGAAGCAUGUACAAAUUUCUGGAGGUGUUCGUGGAGAAAUUCCAAGAGAAAUUUUAGGAGGUACAGUUAGAGAAAUUAUAGGAGGAAUACUUGCAGUAAUUUCUGAAAGAGUUUUUGGAGUAACUUCUUUAACCGUAGUGUGGCCAGCAAAAAAAACACCCGUAGAAGGCCGGCAGGGUACCCGGGUACCCACGCAAUGGAAAUGAUCAUAUCUCAGCGAUUUUUCCACCGAUUUUAAAAGUUUUUGUCUCAUUCAACUCAGAAACUCAUUAUCUAUCGAGAUCGUAUUUGGUUAGACCGGUCCGAUCACCAUAGGUACCGGAAAGUCCGGAUUUCCGGAUCCGUGUUUUUAUACAAUAGAAUAUACGGGAUUUUCGGUAGGUUAGUAGCAAUUUCGGUACCAAGCAUCGUAAAAUUGCUUUGGCAUAUUGUAUCUGACCGGCAGGGAAUCAUAAAACGUGUUGACUUUGAAACUGUGAUUUCGGAACACGCUUCCCGUGAGGCCAUGGUUGACCAUAAACACUUUAAGGUAUCCUAGCCUUAACAAUGUGGGUUUCAAUAUGGUAUAAGGACAUGCUCCCAAAAAUAUGGAUUUUCCGAAAACCACGGUGAUUAGAUCGGUCUAACCAAAUAUUUUCCCGAUAGAUGAUGAGUUUCUGAAU